rnacentral:rRNA from 1 species
UGGACUUGCUCUCAUGAUCUACGGCGGACGGGUGAGUACACGUGGGUACCUGCCCAUAAGACUGGGAUAACUCCGGGAAACCGGGGCUAAUACCGGAUAAUAUUUUGAACUGCAUGGUUCGAAAUUGAAAGGCGGCUUCGGCUGUCACUUAUGGAUGGACCCGCGUCGCAUUAGCUAGUUGGUGAGGUAACGGCUCACCAAGGCAACGAUGCGUAGCCGACCUGAGAGGGUGAUCGGCCACACUGGGACUGAGACACGGCCCAGACUCCUACGGGAGGCAGCAGUAGGGAAUCUUCCGCAAUGGACGAAAGUCUGACGGAGCAACGCCGCGUGAGUGAUGAAGGCUUUCGGGUCGUAAAACUCUGUUGUUAGGGAAGAACAAGUGCUAGUUGAAUAAGCUGGCACCUUGACGGUACCUAACCAGAAAGCCACGA